GGCUUUCCCUUUGGAGCCGGGAAUAUAAAGACGUGGGGCCAUCGGGCUGACCCCGAGGGCCUUCUGUCAAUCAUGGCCUCGCCAUCUCUGCUCCCUUUCACACCAGGCAGCUGGACCCAUCGCUGUCAACCAGGGAAUGAAGACAUUUGGAGAAGAAGCGUUUACUGAAAGGAGAUUCCUGGGCUGGAGGAAAACCAUGAUCUACAGUUCAUGUUGACAGAUAUUGUAUUUUUGGUCCUAGAUCUGACUUUUGAAAUGACUUAUCACAAAUUCAAAUUUAGCAAUCAUGAGUGAAGUACCCACGAUGUGCUAAGCAUCUACCUCUGCAGAUAGAAGAACACUUACUGUUCCUGAGCAUGGGAGGGAAUAGAAGUUCCUGGGUCCUGGCCUCACCUCAUCAGGCACUGCCAAAUUUGACACCUCCUUCCUGUUCACGGCAGUCCUUUGCGAUAGGGUAUUAGAUGCCACCAAGUAGCUGCAUAACUCACCCAUUUGGUCAGAGCCUGGGUCUAAGCCAGGUCUGACAGACUCCAAAGCAAGCCCUGUUUACAGCAUGACUGGGAUCCAGUGGACGAGGGAACUGAGCUGUCAAAACUAAGUGACUUGAUUGAGGCCAUGCAGCUGGCGAGGGGAGGACCAGGAUCUGAACCCAACUGGGUCUCCCAAGCCUGGGCCACUGAACCAUUUCACCUCUUGGAAAAACUUAAUGGUCAGAGUGGCCCACCCAGUCCAUGGACAGCAUGGAGGAUAAACUGCUUCCCUAGAAAUCCUCUCCAGCAUUCUUGCCACCACGACUUUGGGACACAUUGACCAUGAGGAGGAGCUGGUCAAUGAUGGACAGGAGUCCAGAUUAGCAGAGAUGUGGUAAUAAGGACACCGAUGCCUAAAUACUUGAAAUAUCCAAUAGGAAGCAUUCCACCUUUGUGCAAAUGCGAACCACAUCUCACCAAGUUCAGGCCAAGGCUGCCACCGGUGACGUUUUGGAAAAGAAAAAAAAAAGCGGGGGGAGAGGAGAGAAACAGAGAAGCAAGGAAUGCAGAAGAGAGCAGAGGCCACAAAAACAGCAGCAACGUGUCCUGUGUAUUCUGUUUCCUUGUAAAACUAUGAAGCAUGUUAAGGAGAUACUUCAUUUUUUGAGGAUUCAUACUCUUGUUUAUAUUAUAAUAAAAACAACCCAUGUUCUUUCUAAAAAUUUAGGCAAUGCCUUCGUGCACAUAAAAGUAAAACAAAAUCACCUGUAAUCCUACCACACGCAGAUCAGCACUUGCUAAUCUUUUCACAGGGAUCCUAAGAAUAUCCUAUUCUCUAUAGAAUAUAGUUGAUUUAUGUUACCUAAUAACUAACUGUUAACCAUUUUAAAAUUCUUCAGUUUUACAUUAUGCUAGAAAAAAGGAGCCGUCACUCUACGUGACAUUUCUGUAUAUUGGUUUAUUCAUUCAAUAAACAUUUUUUAAGUACCUAC
rnacentral:lncRNA from 1 species